UACGAAGGGGGCUAGCGUUGCUCGGAAUUACUGGGCGUAAAGCGCACGUAGGCGGCUUUCUAAGUCGGGGGUGAAAUCCUGGAGCUCAACUCCAGAACUGCCUUCGAUACUGGAGAGCUCGAGUCCGGGAGAGGUGAGUGGAACUGCGAGUGUAGAGGUGAAAUUCGUAGAUAUUCGCAAGAACACCAGUGGCGAAGGCGGCUCACUGGCCCGGUACUGACGCUGAGGUGCGAAAGCGUGGGGAGCAAAACGG
rnacentral:rRNA from 1 species